rnacentral:rRNA from 2 species
GGUUAAGCGACUAAGCGUACACGGUGGAUGCCCUGGCAGUCAGAGGCGAUGAAGGGCGUGCUAAUCUGCGAUAAGCGCCGGUAAGGUGAUAUGAACCGUUAUAACCGGCGAUACCCGAAUGGGGAAACCCAGUGUGACUCGUCACACUAUCAUUAACUGAAUCCAUAGGUUAAUGAGGCGAACCGGGGGAACUGAAACAUCUAAGUACCC